rnacentral:rRNA from 1 species
UACGUAGGGUGCGAGCGUUGUCCGGAAUUAUUGGGCGUAAAGGGCUCGUAGGCGGUCUGUUGCGUCGGGAGUGAAAACUCAGGGCUUAACCCUGAGCCUGCUUCCGAUACGGGCAGACUAGAGGUAUGCAGGGGAGAACGGAAUUCCUGGUGUAGCGGUGAAAUGCGCAGAUAUCAGGAGGAACACCGGUGGCGAAGGCGGGUCUCUGGGCAGUCACUGACGCUGAGGGGCGAAAGCGUGGGGAGCGAACAGG